rnacentral:lncRNA from 1 species
UGUGUGUGUUGUGGAGGCCUAGGCUGAUGUGUGCAUGCGUGUGGUGGAGGCCUAGGCAGCUGUCUGUGUGUGCAAGUGUGUGUGGUGGAGGCCUAGGCCGGUGUGUGUGUGUUGUGGAGGCCUAGGCUGAUGUGUGUGUGUGUUCUGUGGAGGCCUAGGCAGCUGUGUGUGUGCACGUGUGUCGUGGAGGCCUACGCAGCUGUGUGUGUGUGUUGUGGAGGCCUAGGUUGAUGUGUGUGCACGUGUGUUGUAGAGGCCUAGGAAGCUGUGUGUGUGUGUUGUGGAGGCCUAGGCUGAUGUGUAUGUGUGUGCUGUGGAGGCCUAGACAGUCGUGUGUGUGUGUGCGUGUGUGUGUGUUGUAGA